UUUUAGAUAUAAACCAAAUAAUCAUUAAACCAAUAAUUCUACAAGCAAUACAAAUACCAUCAUUCUUAACAUGCUUCUAAUCCAACUUUAAAAAGAAAAAAAACAUUAAAAAAACACCAAUUCGAUCAUAGAUCAACCUCCUCUUCAUGCCACAAUUCCACGAUUACGCUUUCUUCGCCUGCACUACAACAUAAAGAUAUGCGUGAGUAUUAUCACAAAUAGUCAGUAAGAUGACCCCCAUGUACUACCUAUACACACAAGCGAAUUACACAAACCAACACUCAAUCAAACAAUCAAAACAUCAGACCAUACAUAAGAAGAACAAAACAACUCUUAAUCCAGCCUAGUGUCGACCUCCACAUCAACACAUCCGAUGUCGACCGAUACCCUCUUGGUGUCUAUCUACACUGCCUCUUAAGAUACAAUAGAAUCACCUCUUAUCAAUCCUGAAGAAUCCUUGCACCAUACACGAACAUGAACAAACCCUAACCACCAAAUCAUCACGUGAUCUUUUCUUGGGGGUUUUCCUCAUUCGCACAGUUCCAUCAAUCAAUUCCUAUAAGUCACCCAUCCUAAUCCUACUCUAUCUCAAGAACACUUAGCUGUCAAGUUCUUUUAGGAUCUUUGGCCAAAAAAAUAAGUGUACUUUCAUGACAUAGUUAGAAAAAUCAGAUCUUUUAAACCUCUCCGCAUGUUUGCUAAAACCAGGGAGGCUUACACUUUAGAGGAGUCUAGGAGCUUUGUUUCAGGAUAUGAAGGGGAUCAUUACAUAGUAAAUACAUCGAUGUCAAGUCUUGACAUGAAAGGAGUCCUAUGUCGAAGAAAGUUACGAACAAACCUAAUUUUAGGUUUUGGUGAGGAUGGGCCGACAUUGUUGAAGAUAGGCUAGGCUAAAAAACUUGGUGGGUUUAAGUAUAAUGGACUCAGAGAUGAUUUCAUUAGAAAAAUAGGGUUUUUCCUCUAGGAACCCUUUUCGUCAACGAGGCAAGAGGCGACUAUAAUCUUUGUUUUAGGAACAAAGUUUCAUAUCCGUAUGGUUCGUUUAAUGUUAAAACGAUAUCUCAAAAACGUGAUUCUAACGUCAUAAUUCAAAAAUUAAAUCCAUAAUUUCGCAUUUAAGGAUUUUGUUGUAGAUUUAAAAGACGUCGUCUCUUACUAAUAGAGAUGUCGUCUUUAAACGACGUCGUCUCUUACUAAUAGAGAUGGCUAAAUGUUUCUUAGAUGUUAUGUUAACAUAUUUUUGGAUAUGAUGUUCAUUUUAGCUUAGUCAAUGAAAGAUGAUGCAUUAAAAACUAAGUCAACGAAAAGUUCAUGUUUUGAAUGGCCACAUAGAAAGUUCAUGAUUUAAAAGACCAAAAUGUGAAAGUUAAUGCGCUACUAUUAUUUUUUUAAUUAAAAAUUAAAUUAUUUUACUUAGUCUAAGGUAGUGUUUUUCUUUCAAAAACAGUAUUUUAGAAUUAAUACAUCUCAAUUGUUUGUGCAAUAAAUAAAGAUUUUUAUUAAAAAUGAUUAUAUCCCAUAACGAUAGUUGAUUUCAUAUUUUUAAUGAUUUCAAUAAUGACAUAAACUCUUAAUAUAGUAAUUGACAUAAAACCUAGUCCUUUUACAUAAAAUUUUGAAUUAAUUUCUUUUGGUAUGAAUGUUAAGUUUAUCCUAUAUUGUUCAACGUUCAAACAAUUUCUUUUUCUGUUUUUGGUAUGAGUGUUAUGUUUUUUAUAUCUUGUGUUAAAUCUUGACCACCAAAAUUUCAAAAUUGCAAAAAAUUAAUAUAAGAAUUAAUGAAUACCAAAAAUCUAAGGAUUGACUAUUUUAAUGCGAUCUAAUUAGCACCACCCUUAUUUUGUGUGUAUAAAUAAACAAAUAUUUCACUCCCAAAAACAUAUUCUUAAGUUAAAAGAAAAAGAAAAAACAUAUAUUAGUACUAUUCCAAAAUUUCUCUUCACUUUAUUUUUUGAGUCAAAAACUCAUAAUUUGUUUUCCUAAAAAAUGAACACCAAGAAAACAAAAGGAAAGCAAAAGAUUAAUAUAAAGAAAAUAGAAAUAAGCAAAGACAUAUUGGUCACAUUGUCUAAUCGUAGAAAUGGUAUCUACACUNNNNNNNNNNNNNNNNNNNNNNNNNNNNNNNNNNNNNNNNNNNNNNNNNNNNNNNNNNNNNNNNNNNNNNNNNNNNNNNNNNNNNNNNNNNNNNNNNNNNAUCCUUUCAGGCAGUUGCGGAGCAGUUUCUCAACAGCGAGGCCUCGUCGUCUUCUUCUUUGCAACAAUCACUCUUUACUGUUCAUCACAAACAGAAUGUUCAAGAGCUAUGCACAUUGUACAACAAUGUUGUUGAGCAGACACGUGCUAAGGAAGUGAAAGCAAUGAAGGCAGCUGCGUCUAUGGAGCCGUUUCCAGAAGAUGCGUGGUGGAAAAUGCAUAUGACUAAGGAACAAGAUCAAGAAGAAGCAAAAAAGUUGUUGGACAAGUUUGAAGGGCUCUAUGAGAAGUUGUGUGAUGAAAUUGAUGUAAGAAGUCAAAGAAGAGAUGCUGCGAGAAAUCACAUAUGAUUUAUACGUCCUUAAUAUAUCAUUUGUUGUGUUGUUGUGAUGAUGUGUUGUUGUAUUGUCUUUUCUUUUUAUUUUAUGCAUUGUUAAUGUUUUCUAAAUCAUCCAAUCCAAUAAAACAAAAAUAAUAUUUCAUUUUAAAUGUUAUUUGAGAAACAUACUGAAAAACAUAAAUAAAUCAAACUUAGAAUAAAAUAAGGGUUUCCUAUCUCAAAAAAGUUCAUGUUUUUGCAAAUGUAAUUUUGUUGUCUACCACUCAUUUACCUUUUCUUGUCUAUGAUGCAUAUAUCAAAAUCUAGUGGUCAUGAAUUUUAGACUUUAGGAGGCUCAGUGUCUAUCAAAAUAUUUUGUUAUGCACCAAAUUAAACAACAGAUAUUUUGACAUUUUCAUCUUAUUUCUUGUGUAUUACUAGCUCAAAACAUAAUUAUACAUUGUCCACUAUAUUUUACACUUAUAAUUUUGUUGUCCAUGUCCCAAAUCUGUAACAAUAGUUAAAACGACAACCUAUUCUAUUUAUUAAUUCGUUAACUAAUAAUCUCAUAUUUAUUAACUAGCUAUUAUAAAAUAUACUAACAGCAACAAGCAAAAAUAAAUUAACUAAAGCAUCAAUCAAACCACUUUUAGAUAUAAACCAAAUAACCAUUAAACCAAUAAUUUUACAAGCAAUACAAAUACCAUCAUUUAACAUGCUUCUAAUCCAACUUCCAAAAGAAAAAAAAAACAUUAAAAAUACACCAAUUCGAUCAUAAAUCAACCUCCUCUUCAUGCCACAAUUCCACGAUUACGAUUUCUUCGCCUGCACUAGAAGGGGAUCAUUACAUAGUAAAUACAUCGAUGUCAAGUCUUGACAUGAAAGGAGUCCUAUGUCGAAGAAAGUUACGAACAAACCUAAUUUUAGGUUUUGGGGAGGAUGGACCGACAUUGUUGAAGAUAGGCUAAGCUAAAAAAUUUGGUGGGUUUAAGUAUAAUGGACUCAGAGAUGAUUUCAUUAGAAAAAUAGGGGUUUUCCUCUAGGAACCCUUUUCGUCAACGAGGUAAGAGGCGACUAUAAUCUUUGUUUUAGGAACAAAGUUUCAUAUCCGUCUGGCUUCGUUUAAUGUUAAAACGAUAUCUCAAAAACGUGAUUCUAACGUCAUAAUUCAAAAAUUAAAUCCAUAAUUUCGCAUUAAGGAUUUUGUUGUAGCUUUAAACGACGUCGUCUCUUAAUAAUAGAGAUGGCUAAAUGUUUCUUAGAUGUUAUGUUAACAUAUUUUUGGAUAUGAUGUUCAUUUUGGCUUAGUCAAUUAAAGAUGACGCAUUAAAAACUAAGUCAACGAAAAGUUCAUGUUUUGAAUGGCCACAUAGAAAGUUCAUGAUUUAAAAGACCAAAAUGUGAAAGUUAAUGUGGUACUAUUAGUUUUUAAUUAAAAAUUAAAUUAUUUUACUUACUCUAAGGUAAUGUUUUUCUUUCAAAAACAGUAUUUUAGAAUUAAUACAUCUCUAUUGUUUGUGCAAUAAAUAAAGAUUUUUAUUAAAAAUGAUUAUAUCCUAUAACGAUAGUUGAUUUCAUAUUUUCAAUGAUUUACAUAAUGACAUAAACUCUUAAUAUAUUAAUUGACAUAAAACCUAAUCCUUUUACAUAAAAUUUUGAAUUAAUUUCUUUUGGUAUGAAUGUUAAAUUUAUCCUAUAUUGUUCAACGUUCAAACAAUUUCUUUUUCUUUUUUUGGUAUGAGUGUUAUGUUUUUUAUAUCUUGUGUUAAAUCUUGACCACCAAAAUUUCAAAAUUGCAAAAAAUUAAUAUAAGAAUUAAUGAAUACCAAAAAUCUAAGAAUUGACUAUUUUAAUGCGAUCUAAUUAGCACCACCCUUAUUUUGUGUAUAUAAAUAAACAAAUCUUUCACUCACAAAACAUAUUUUUAAGUUAAAAGAAAAAGAAAAAACAUAUAUUAGUCCUAUUCCAAAAUUUCUCUUCACUUUUUUUUUUGAGUCAAAAACUCAUAAUUUGUUUUCCUAAUAAAUGAACACCAAGAAAACAAAAGGAAAGCAAAAGAUUAAUAUAAAGAAAAUUGAAAGAAGCAAAGACAGAUUGGUCACAUUGUCUAAGCGUAGAAAUGGUAUCUNNNNNNNNNNNNNNNNNNNNNNNNNNNNNNNNNNNNNNNNNNNNNNNNNNNNNNNNNNNNNNNNNNNNNNNNNNNNNNNNNNNNNNNNNNNNNNNNNNNNAGCUCUGUGAACUCUCUGUUCUCUGCGGCGUUCACAUUGCAUUUUUGGGGUAUACCGACUCCGGAAAGCCAUUUACAUUUGGCAGUCCAUCCUUCCAGGCAAUUUCGGAGCAGUUUCUCAACAGCGAGGCCUCGUCGUCUUCUUCUUUGCAACAAUCACUCUUUACUGUUCAUCACAAACAGAAUGUUCAAGAGCUAUGCACAUUGUACAACAAUGUUGUUGAGCAGACACGUGCUGAGGAAGUGAAAACGAUGAAGGCAGCUGCGUCUAUGGAGCCGUUUCCAGAAGAUACGUGGUGGAAAAUGCAUAUGACUAAGGAACAAGAUCAAGAAGAAGCAAAAAAGUUGUUGGACAAGUUUGAAGGGCUCUAUGAGAAGUUGUGUGAUGAAAUUGAUGUAAGAAGUCAAAGAAGAGAUGCUGCGAGAAAUCACAUAUGAUUUAUACGUUCUUAAUAUAUCAUUUGUUGUGUUGUUGUGAUGAUGUGUUGUUGUAUUGUCUUUUCUUUUUAUUUUAUGCAUUGUUAAUGUUUUCUAAAUCAUCCAAUCCAAUAAAACAAAAAUAAUAUUUCAUUUUAAAUGUUAUUUGAGAAACAUACUGAAAAACAUAAAUAAAUCAAACUUAGAAUAAAAUAAGGGUUUCCUAUCUCAAAAAAGUUCAUGUUUCUGCAAAUGUAAUUUUGUUGUCUACCACUCAUUUACCUUUUCUUGUCUAUGAUGCAUAUAUCAAAAUCUAGUGGUCAUGAAUUUUAGACUUUAGGAGGCUCAGUGUCUAUCAAAAUAUUUUGUUAUGCACCAAAUUAAACAACAGAUAUUUUGACAUUUUCAUCUUAUUUCUUGUGUAUCAGUAGCUCAAAACAUAAUUAUACAUUGUCAACUAUAUUUCGCACUUGUAAUUUUGUUGUCCAUGUCCCAAAUCUGUAACAAUAGUUAAAACGACAACGUAUUCUAUUUUUUAAUUCGUUAGCUAAUAAUCUCAUAUUUAUUAACUAGCUAUUAUCAAGUAUACUAACAACAAGCAAAAAUAAAUGAACUAAACCAUCAAUCAAACCAGUUUUAGAUAUAAACCAAAUAACCAUUAAACCAAUAAUUUUACAAGCAAUACAAAUACCAUCAUUUAACAUGCUUCUAAUCCAACUUCCAAAAGAAAAAAAAACAUUAAAAAAACACCAAUUCGAUCAUAGAUCAACCUCCUCUUCAUGCCACAAUUCCACGAUGACGCUUUUUUUGCCUGCACUACAACAUAAAUAUAUGCGUGAGUAUUAUCACAAAUAGUCAGUAAGAUGACCCCCAUGUACUACCUAUACACACAAGCG
rnacentral:lncRNA from 1 species